rnacentral:misc_RNA from 1 species
AGCAGCCGCGGUAAUUCCAGCUCCAAUAGCGUAUAUUAAAGUUGUUGCAGUUAAAAAGCUCGUAGUUGAAUUUCGGGAUCAGUAUGUUGGUCGUGCUUCGGUACGUACUGUCAUUACUGGUUUCUACCUUCUGAAGAACCUUGAUGUCAUUAAUUUGGUGUCUUGGGGAAUCAGGACUGUUACUUUGAAAAAAUUAGAGUGUUUAAAGCAAGCAUACGCUUGAAUACAUUAGCAUGGAAUAAUGAAAUAGGACGUUUGAUUCUAUUUUGUUGGUUUCUAGGAUCGACGUAAUGAUUAAUAGGGAUAGUUGGGGGCAUUAGUAUUCAAUUGUCAGAGGUGAAAUUCUUGGAUUUAUUGAAGACUAACUACUGCGAAAGCAUUUGCCAAGGAUGUUUUCAUUAAUCAAGAACGAAAGUUAGGGGAUCGAAGACGAUCAGAUACCGUCGUAGUCUUAACCAUAAACUAUGCCGACUAGGGAUCGGAUGGUGUUAAUUUUUUAAUGACUCAUUCGGCGCCUUAC